rnacentral:rRNA from 1 species
ACGAACGCUGGCGGCACGCUUAACACAUGCAAGUCGAACGAGAGAAGAGAAGCUUGCUUUUCUGAUCUAGUGGCGGACGGGUGAGUAACACGUGAGCAAUCUGCCUUUCAGAGGGGGAUACCGAUUGGAAACGAUCGUUAAUACCGCAUAAUAUAAUUGAACCGCAUGAUUUGAUUAUCAAAGAUUUAUCGCUGAAAGAUGAGCUCGCGUCUGAUUAGCUAGUUGGUAAGGUAACGGCUUACCAAGGCGACGAUCAGUAGCCGGACUGAGAGGUUGAUCGGCCACAUUGGGACUGAGACACGGCCCAGACUCCUACGGGAGGCAGCAGUGGGGAAUAUUGCACAAUGGAGGAAACUCUGAUGCAGCGAUGCCGCGUGAGGGAAGAAGGUUUUAGGAUUGUAAACCUCUGUCUUCAGGGACGAAAAAAGACGGUACCUGAGGAGGAAGCUCCGGCUAACUACGUGCCAGCAGCCGCGGUAAUACGUAGGGAGCGAGCGUUGUCCGGAAUUACUGGGUGUAAAGGGAGCGUAGGCGGGAUCGCAAGUCAGAUGUGAAAACUAUGGGCUUAACCCAUAAACUGCAUUUGAAACUGUGGUUCUUGAGUGAAGUAGAGGUAAGCGGAAUUCCUAGUGUAGCGGUGAAAUGCGUAGAUAUUAGGAGGAACAUCAGUGGCGAAGGCGGCUUACUGGGCUUUAACUGACGCUGAGGCUCGAAAGCGUGGGGAGCAAACAGGAUUAGAUACCCUGGUAGUCCACGCCGUAAACGAUGAUUACUGGGUGUGGGGGGACUGACCCCUUCCGUGCCGCAGCAAACGCAAUAAGUAAUCCACCUGGGGAGUACGACCGCAAGGUUGAAACUCAAAGGAAUUGACGGGGGCCCGCACAAGCAGUGGAGUAUGUGGAUUAAUUCGAAGCAACGCGAAGAACCUUACCAGGUCUUGACAUCGUAUGCAUAGCUCAGAGAUGAGUGAAAUCUCUUCGGAGACAUAUAGACAGGUGGUGCAUGGUUGUCGUCAGCUCGUGUCGUGAGAUGUUGGGUUAAGUCCCGCAACGAGCGCAACCCUUACUGUUAGUUGCUACGCAAGAGCACUCUAGCAGGACUGCCGUUGACAAAACGGAGGAAGGUGGGGAUGACGUCAAAUCAUCAUGCCCCUUAUGACCUGGGCCUCACACGUACUACAAUGGCUGUAAACAGAGGGAUGCAAAGCCGCGAGGUGGAGCGAACCCCUAAAAGCAGUCUUAGUUCGGAUUGUAGGCUGCAACCCGCCUACAUGAAGUCGGAAUUGCUAGUAAUCGCAGAUCAGCAUGCUGCGGUGAAUACGUUCCCGGGCCUUGUACACACCGCCCGUCACGCCAUGGGAGUCGGUAACACCCGAAGCCUGUAGUCUAACCGCAAGGAGGACGCAGUCGAAGGUGGGAUUGAUGACUGGGGUG